rnacentral:rRNA from 1 species
GAGAGUGGGUAGUCCGCACGAGCGCACCUCACUUUUAGUUGCCAUCAUUAAGUUGGGCACUCUGAAAGAACUGCCAGUGAUAAGCUGGAGGAAGGUGGGGAUGACGUCAAGUCCUCAUGGCCCUUACGUGUUGGGCUACACACGUGCUACAAUGGCAUCUACAACGGGAAGCAAAACGGCAACGUUAAGCAGAUCCCGAAAAGAUGCCUCAGUUCGGAUUGCACUCUGCAACUCGAGUGCAUGAAGCUGGAAUUACUAGUAAUCGUGGAUCAGCGUGCCACGGUGAAUGCGUUCCCGGGUCUUGUACACACCGCCCGUCACACCAUGGGAGUUGGUUCUACCUUAAGGCAAGGUUUUAAACCCUUGACCACGGUAUAGUCAGCGACUGGGGUGAAGUCGUAACAAGGUAGCCGUAGGGGAACCUGCGGCUGGAUUACCUCCUUUCU